CUCUGUGAAGUACCAUUAGCCGCGGGAAUAUCAGUAUGGUGACUCCUUACCCUGGGGAAGUGUACUUAGGCCACGGCUAGCAGUGAGAACGUGGCCAUGGACAAGAAUUCCAAGUAGUGGCACUUCUGUAGACGACGCGGCCCUUUUGGGGUUACUACAGCCCAGGAAACUCACAUGCGACACGGCGCCAGCUGAAGUCCAUCUAGACCCCCGCAGACCCAAGGUCACAAGUUGAGAACCCCCUGCCGUGGACAUUCUUCUGCACCUAGUGGUGAAGCAGGUGGAGCUGCACCUUGCUCCGCCCAUUUGGAGACUGGUUCUGCACAUAUGAGUGUGCCCUGCAGCGAUCCUGCAAUCCUUCGUGACUAACAAGGACUUUCUGUGAAAACAGAUUUAUCUUUUCUUCUCUACCUUUAAGGUUUCUUGCUGUUGAGAAUAGUUAAGGGACGAGGAAUUCUUAUUGCCCCCAUUUUACAGGCAAAGAAACUAAUGCUGACCCCAACCUUACCGACCACUUGGAGGUCCCUAAAAACACAUGACCUUUGUGUUUCUCGGCUGUUAGUGGAAUCCUUUCUGUCUGCUCAUGAACUCAUCUUCAAACGCAUUCCAGGCCUUCAGAACUCUUCCGUGAGCGCAAGUCACUGGUAUGGGCCACUGUUAACUGCCGGUUAUCACCUAGAUUUUCUUAACUAUGCUUUGCCCUCUGAGGCCGUGAGCUCUUGAAUCUUCACCUUAGUCUGUAGGAGGAAAAGUUGUUUGAGAUGAUAUUUGAAUCCUUCAUUUUAGGCCAAAUUCAGAACAUAGCAAAAGGUUCUGGCUAACAUGCAGAACAGUAUGUCUGGACUCCCACUACUGUUGGUCUGCAAAGUUGAAGGCUACUCUAGGCAAAUAUGUCACCUUUAAUGUAUCUCCUUAGGAGGAGUCUUUCACCUUAUUCAUGCUCCUCAGCACCCACACCAAAAGAUUCAUGAAGUAAAUGUUACCUAGUCUCUGCUUUACCCCAUUACCCCCGGCCUGAGGACCUUUGAACCAUUUUAAAUGCUCUACCUGCCAGCCUGGCCAUCUGUGCAUUGCUUGCUCCAUCCACCCUUCUGACUCAGCUGAAAUACCACCUUCCCAAAGAAGUCUAAGUGACCACCUCAUCUAAAUUGGGUUUCCUGCCCACCCCUCCUCUAUCACUUUGCGCAUGGUUGUAUUUCUAUCACAGAACUUCCGUCCAUCAUUCGUGUCCUUCGUUUUGUACUUGUUUAUCAUAUAUCCUCUGUAGAACAGAACAUUCUGAGAAGACGGACUUUGGGUGUCUUUCUACAAAAUCCUCCAUUCCUAAAACUGCUUUACCUGUAGAUGGUCCUCAACAAAUAUCUAAAACAUUUUAAAUAACAAAUAGAUGUCAUGCUUUAACCCUACACUCCACCUUCGGCCAUACAGAAUUUUAGUCCCUGCGUCCAUGCUCUUACCUCCGUGGUUUUGUACACUCUGUACCGUUCUAACUCUCAGAUAUUCUUCAAGACUUCAUUCUGUUACUUGUUACUCUGCAACUCUAAACCCCACUCUUAGUUGAGUUGGCUGCUCUUCGGUGCUCACAAUUACCUGUAACCUCUCUGUCAUAACCAUCUCACUCUAUUCAUUUGACUGUCUCACUCAAACGACGUGUCCCUUGAUGGCAGAGACUGUUGCUCAUAACAUGGACAGUGCAUUGUUCAAUUACUGUUUUGGGGUGACAAAGUCUGUCUGUGCCUCUUUGCGUUCUCUUUCCUUCUCUCUUUUCUCCAUGUUGUACUUGUCUUUCCAUUUCUGCAACCCUUUUAAUCCUUUCCUUAGGUUGUUAUUCAUGCCUAGUGAUUCUCAUGGACAUUCCGAAAUC
rnacentral:lncRNA from 1 species